UUUCCGUAGGUGAACCUGCGGAAGGAUCAUUAUUGUAUAACCGAGGUGCGAGGGCUGUCGCUGACCCGAAAGGUCGUGCACGCCCGAGUGCCCUCACACAUCCAUCUCACCCCUGUGUGCACCACCGCGUGGGUCCCCCUUUGGCUUGUUCGGAGGGGGGCUUACGUUUUCACACAAACUUUGUAUGCAGUGUAGAAUGUAUUUUUUGUUUUUGCGAUCACGCAAUCAAUACAACUUUCAACAACGGAUCUCUUGGCUCUC
rnacentral:misc_RNA from 1 species